rnacentral:lncRNA from 1 species
UUUUUUUUUUCAUUUAUAUAUAUGUUUUAUCAAAAAAUUACUUAAUAAACGGUUUUAAAUUUCUCCCUUAGGACAUGUUUAGGACGUUCUAACAUAAGAUGUAUCUGAGAUAGCUUCGAGACACACCUUAACAGUGUCCUAAGUUGAUCCUAAAAUUUGUCUUAGGAUGCGACUUAAGACGAUUCUUAGGAUACUUUCGAGAAAACACCCCCCCCCCCCAGAUUUUUAAAUGUUUAUUUGAAAUGGCUCCUGGUUAAUAUUAUUUUAAAAUUUGAAAAGGCACUUCUUUUUAAAUAUUUUUUUACCAAUAAUUUGUAUAUUUAUUAAUAAGAAAGCUACUAGAACAUCUGCUAAAGAAUAAAGGUUAAAAGAUUAAGGACAAAAAUAUUCCAAAUAUUAAAUUUCGAAUUAUCAAGAUGGCCUAAAUGCCUCAGUUGUAAAAAGUUAGACUAAGUACUAGAUUGACGAUCGCGUGACUGAAGGUUCACCGUAAACAGGCACGCUUAUAUAUUGAAAAGCAAAAUAUAAAGUUUACAACAUAACCAAAAGGAACAUAAAAGAUCACUGCUAUACAAAAUCAAUCUUGUCAGGAGGAAUAAGAAAAGAAAAGAUACCAAAGGACCAAUCAAAGUCAAUAAGUCGAUGAAAAACACUAUGGUCAAAACAUAUACCAUGAAAAUAAAAAAAAAUAAAAAACAGUCCACAAAGAAUAAUACACAGAAAACUGAACAUUAAUUAUUUGAAAUUUCUUUUAAUAUUGGACAUAAGGAUACUCUUUGAAGUUUCGAAAUUGAAAGAAAUAAGCUCUUAUAUCUUUUUUUUUUAAUAUCCUGAAGGAUAACUGCGAUAUAUAUAAUCAGUUGCCUAACCAACAAUAUUUAUAAUAAUAAUAAAAAAGCGUUUUGUUUAAAUGAUUGAAAUACACG